CUUUAUAAGUUUAAACAAAUUGGCUUAAGAGAGACCUGAACCAUAACUUUAAGCAAUUGCUUUUGAUAUACUAAACUACUCCAUUUUGAACCAAUCUUUUCUAAUAUUUGAAUAUGGGCUAUAACACUAAUCUCAUUGGCAAAUCUAGUUUGUUAGACUUCAGCUGUAAAUUUAACUGGGAACUCUGCAAAUCUGUAUAAUUAACCCCCUUUCAUGCUUACAGCCAGCUCUACCCUUGUACGCGCUUGGUGGAGGGCAUGAGGACACUCAGGGCAUAUGUGUGGCCACAGUGGACACUGCUGGGAAAAAAGACCCUGGACUCAGGUGCCUAGUGGAAUGUGCAUAUGGACAACACAUGCUGAAGAACUCCAGUCACUGUCCAGGUACAUGGCAUGCUGAUAUGUCUGAGAGAAUAACCUUAACUGAAGAUAAAGAAAGACAUGCAUUCUCAGGAUACAACAAAUACUCUACAAUUAAGUGGUGCUGUAAAUGGAUCUUGAUCACAUGUAGAAAUCCACAGCAAAACCCUUUUCCAUUUAUGAGUAUAGCAUUUAUUUGUGGACUCUUUUCCAGAAUGUAACAGUACAUUCUGCACCUUUAAUGAACAACUUUUCUCUAGCCCUCCCACAGUUCUAUUUCCCACACAGUUAAAUGAAGGGACUGAGGAUCUGGACAAUAGACCAUCCCAGUCUGUUGUGACAAGUGCGGUAGCAGUGGCAGAGGCUCCAUUAAUCCUUCUGGCAGAUGAAUCAAGUCCAGAUACCAUAGUUUUCUCAGACAUGCUGGCACUAUUAAAAGCACUCUGGCCUUA